GCAGUCGAACGGCAGCACGGACUUCGGUCUGGUGGCGAGUGGCGAACGGGUUAGUAAUAUAUCGGAACAUACCCUAGAGUGGGGGAUAACGUAGCGAAAGUUACGCUAAUACCGCAUACGCACUAAGGUGGAAAGUGGGGGAUCGCAAGACCUCAUGCUCAUGGAGUGGCCGAUAUCUGAUUAGCUAGUUGGUGAGGUAAAGGCUCACCAAGGCGACGAUCAGUAGCUGGUUUGAGAGAACGACCAGCCACACUGGAACUGAGACACGGUCCAGACUCCUACGGGAGGCAGCAGUGGGGAAUUUUGGGCAAUGGGCGCAAGCCUGAUCCAGCAAUGCCGCGUGAGUGAAGAAGGCCUUCGGGUUGUAAAGCUCUUUUGUCAGGGAAGAAACGGUAGUCUCUAAUACAGAUUGCUAACGACGGUACCUGAAGAAUAAGCACCGGCUAACUACGUGCCAGCAGCCGCGGUAAUACGUAGGGUGCAAGCGUUAAUCGGAAUUACUGGGCGUAAAGCGUGCGCAGGCGGUUAUAUAAGUCAGAUGUGAAAUCCCCGGGCUCAACCUGGGAACUGCAUUUGAG
rnacentral:rRNA from 1 species